GACGAACGCUGGCGGCGUGCUUAACACAUGCAAGUCGAGCGGUAAGGCCCUUUCGGGGGUACACGAGCGGCGAACGGGUGAGUAACACGUGGGUGACCUGCCCUCAGCUCUGGGAUAAGCCUGGGGAAACUGGGUCUAAUACUGGAUAUGACUCCACGGUGCAUGUCGUGGGGUGGAAAGCCUUGUGCGGCUGAGGAUGGGCCCGCGGCCUAUCAGCUUGUUGGUGGGGUGANGGCCUACCAAGGCGACGACGGGUAGCCGGCCUGAGAGGGCGACCGGCCACACUGGGACUGAGACACGGCCCAGACUCCUACGGGAGGCAGCAGUGGGGAAUCUUGCGCAAUGGGCGAAAGCCUGACGCAGCGACGCCGCGUGAGGGAU
rnacentral:rRNA from 1 species